rnacentral:rRNA from 1 species
ACUCAAAGGAAUAGACGGGGGUCCGCACAAGCGGUGGAACAUGUGGUUUAAUUCGAUAUUACGCGAGGAACCUUACCUGGGCUUGACAUGUUUUUGACAGCUGUGGAAACACAGUCUUCCGAGCUUGCUCGGACAGAAUCACAGGUGCUGCAUGGUUGUCGUCAGCUCGUGUCGUGAGAUGUUUGGUUAAGUCCUGUAACGAGCGCAACUCUUGUCGUCAGUUGCUAUCACUUCGGUGAGCACUCUGGCGAGACUGCCCGGGAAACCGGGAGGAAGGUGGGAAUGACGUCAAAUCAUCAUGGUCCUUAUGCCCAGGGCUACACACGUGUUACAAUGGCCAGUACAGAGGGUUGCUAUCCCGCGAGGGUGUGCUAAUCUCAUAAAGCUGGUCUAAGUUCGGAUUGGGGUCUGCAACUCGACCCCAUGAAGUUGAAAUCGCUAGUAAUCGCGCAUCAGAUACGGCGCGGUGAAUACGUUCUCGGACCUUGUACACACCGCCCGU